rnacentral:snoRNA from 1 species
GUGCCAUGAUGACUAUCUUAGGACACCUUUGGAGGGUUUUAUCCUAUGAAACGAACGCAUUUCUCUGAGCACU